rnacentral:rRNA from 1 species
AACGCUAGCUACAGGCUUAACACAUGCAAGUCGAGGGGCAGCGCAAAGAUUAGCUUGCUAAUUUUGGCGGCGACCGGCGGAUGGGUGAGUAACACGUAUGCAACCUACCUUUAACACGGGCAUAACCCGGAGAAAUCCGGACUAAUUCCCGAUAAUACAGGGGCUCCGCAUGGAGAUAUUUGUUAAAGAUUUAUUGGUUAAAGAUGGGCAUGCGCUCCAUUAGUUAGUUGGUGAGGUAACGGCUCACCAAGGCAUCGAUGGAUAGGGGAACUGAGAGGUUUAUCCCCCACACUGGGACUGAGACACGGCCCAGACUCCUACGGGAGGCAGCAGUGAGGAAUAUUGGUCAAUGAGGGCAACCUUGAACCAGCCAAGUCGCGUGAAGGAUGACUGUCCUAAGGAUUGUAAACUUCUUUUAUAUGGGAAUAAUUGUAGCCACGUGUGGUUAUUUGCAUGUACCAUAUGAAUAAGGAUCGGCUAACUCCGUGCCAGCAGCCGCGGUAAUACGGAGGAUCCAAGCGUUAUCCGGAUUUAUUGGGUUUAAAGGGUGCGCAGGCGGGAGAUUAAGUCGGUGGUGAAAUUUUGCGGCUCAACCGUAAGAGUGCCAUCGAAACUGGUUUUCUUGAGUGUAGAUGAAGUAGGCGGAAUUUGUGGUGUAGCGGUGAAAUGCAUAGAUAUCACGAAGAACUCCGAUUG